UACGGAGGGUGCAAGCGUUAUCCGGAUUCACUGGGUUUAAAGGGUGCGUAGGUGGGCAGGUAAGUCAGUGGUGAAAUCUCCGGGCUUAACCCGGAAACUGCCAUUGAUACUGUCGAUCUUGAGUACACUUGAAGUGGGCGGAAUGUGUCAUGUAGCGGUGAAAUGCUUAGAUAUGACACAGAACACCGAUUGCGAAGGCAGCUCACUAAAUUGUAACUGACGCUGAGGCACGAAAGCGUGGGGAUCAAACAGG
rnacentral:rRNA from 1 species